CGCCUGUCUGACUGGCCUGCAUUAUCCCAUACAAUUGUAUUGCCCCUGUUCAGCGAAGUGAACACACACCGUUGAUCAACAGAUUGCUGUUAGUAGACUGAUCUCUAGUGAUCAACAGGCGCCAUCUACAGGAGGAAAACCGCUACACACACAUCAAUUAUAACCCAGACACCUGGAGUGGUGAUGGUGAAAGCUGGUGAUACAGUGACCUUGAAAUGCCAUUUGAGUGAGAUUAUCACCUACUGCUUCUCUGUGAGUUGGAUAAAAGUGGACCCCAGGACUGGAACACACAGCAUGAGUACACCCUUAACGGUUGAUAACAUUUCAACGGACCAGGAACAGGACAACCUAUGUUCCGUUACAAUCACCAAUGCAAAUGUGAGCGACUCUGGCAUGUACUACUGUUUGGCUGUUCACUCCAAAACGGUGUACUCUGGCAAUGGUUCUAAGGUUAUUAUUUUGACAGAGAGAGAAAGGGUAGAGAACAGCACUAAAGCCCCAACCAUCCAAAUCGUCUCUUCGCCAGAGGUUGACCGCAUCUUCAUCCCUCUGCUGUGUUUGGUGUUGGAAGUGGUCCCGUCUCAGGUCCGUGUGUUCUGGCUCAUAGACGGGAGAGAAGAGAGUGGACUCACUGACUCCGCCUGGACAGACAACAGUGAUUCAGCCACAGAGUUCACUAGGAACCAGAUUCUUGUCCAGGCACAGGAGUGGGACAGACGAGCAGAGUUUACAUGUGUGGUGGAGUUUGAGGGGAAAAAUAUCACCAAAACACUGCUGCAGAAAAAUGAUUCCAAUGCCAUGUGCACAAUGUUGAUGUAUGGGGCCUCUGCAGCUGCUCUCCUCACCAUAAUAGUUGCUGUCACUAUUGCUGUGUGUCUGCACCGUGGGCAUCCUGUGGUUAUUGAUGCAGAUACAAGACAAAGAGGCACAGGCACUGAGAACAAACGGGAUCAAUCUGGGAGACGGGGAGAAGCAAGAAGGCCAGUUAGAUCAUCGUACUCGGAGGUCCAGUAUGCGACUUUGGACCAUAUCAAUUUUGGGAGACGCACAAAUCCAGUUCUCCAAUCAGAUUUUGACAAAGAAAUUGCAUAGAAAUUCCUUGUAUUUUGUCAUGAUGUAGAUGCUUAUGAACUGCCACUGAAAACAUUUCAGAUGAUUAUUUAUGUAUUUGUGUAUAAAGUAAGAGCCGGUGUCCGCAAUUGCAAAGUACUUUCUUUUAUAUUGGAAUUCAACUGUGGAGUAGUCUCCCAUUAGUCAUUAAGAUGUCCCAGUCCAGAAAGGCUUUCAGAGGUCAGGUUAGAUCCCUUCCGUCAGAAAAAGUGCACAGGUCUAAAUAGGAAAAUUACUGAAUAUUCUUGAAUUUUGUAUGGAUUGUGUAUUUAUUAUGGUGUAGGCUAGUUAGGGACUUAUCAUAGGCCCAUGUCACAGGAGGUUGGUGGCACCUUAAUUGGGGAGGAUGGGCUCGUGGUAUUGGCUGGAGUGGAAUAGUAUGAAAUACAUCAAACACAUGGAUUGAUGCCAAUCCAUUUGCUUUGUUCCAGACAUUAUUAUCAGCCGUUCUCCCCUCAGCAAUCCAUGUAUUUCCAUGGAUUUUCUUGUGUUGUGUCCUGUUUCUGUCCUACACAGAAGACCACAUUGGAAAUAAGUGUUCUUACACUAUUGUGUGUCAUCCUCUGGGAUUCUUUGUACUUUUACAACUGUAAGAAUUGUAUUUGUUUUUAUUUUAUUUCAUUUCAUCACCUCUUAUCUAAUUGACCAUUUCCCUGGAACCCUUAGUGCCAAACAUGCCUCUGUUUUUGAACAGAUAUCUAAAACACAUGUUUAAAAACUUUGCUUGAAUGCAACAACAAAAAAUAUGAUGUUAAAAUUCUCAAUCUCAAGCGCACUUUGACAAAGUGUACGUCUUAAUUUCUCUGACCAAAAUGAGAAGGCUCCUGCACAGACUGCAGAUUGUGUAACAUGAGAAAGUGUCACAGGUAACAUGUGUAGGACUGUAGCCUUCGGAACAGAAGCUGACCACCGUAGUUUAAGCUUUAGCUGCAUAUCUCUCUCGCUCUCUUUCUCUGCGAGGAUGGGUUUUCUGAGCAUGAUAUGCUUUUGGACAGACACCGCAUUGCUUAUAACAAACCACUAGCAGAUUCUAUAUUCAGACUUUUUCACCCAAUAGUGCAAUAUACUAGAUAGCAUACCACGAAAGUAAAAAGGUUAUCAGCUCCCAUCCGAUCACCUAACCUCAGCAGCCUUCACGAAAUUAAUGAAACUCAGACAAUAGAUGGAAUGUGCUGUUAUUAUUGUAACAGUUCAUUUUCUACAACAACAGUAUUUUAAAGGAUUUGAAAAUAGUUAUGCUCCCACUUAGUUCUGAAUGGGAAAUAAAGCAGUCUGGCCGAUGAGUGACAAGGAUCUGCAUUCCAUCCAAUUCACACAUGAUUUAAUAUAAGGUUUAGUAGUUUUCGAUUAAGUGUAGCUGGAUUCAGUCAUGAUGAAAUCAAGUAAGUAAUGGCAAGACAUAAUAAAAGUGUUACAAUGAAAUGUUAAUGUACUCUUAAUACAAAGGACAGUAGUCGUUUUUUGGUAAGUAAAAAGUUAUGACUUGAAGUGAACUGAAAACCCCCCACAAUUAUACACUUCUACAGUAUGAUACAACAUGAGGCAAUAUAGGCCCGUACUACUUUUUAAAAUGUUGAUACAGAUAACUUGGUUAACGAAGUUUCCUACCUAAUGUGUUUGUAUAGUUAACUCCAGCCUACCUGAUGUUAGAAUAGGAAGGAGAAAAACUACAGACUGAGUGACAGGACAGGUAGAUUUGAAGUAAACACUCACAUCUACUGGAUGUUUGGAGACAGUGACACAAGGUGAGAAAGAAGAGCAUUUCAUCAUGACAGUACUUGAAGGAUAGAUAGCACUUUAUGGAAGCACUAGGCUCCUCUAUAACACAUGUUGUAUGCAUUUUGCAUUUAACAUCUUCCUAGUAGGUAUGAAGCACUCCGAAUCUCUCAAAGCACUUUUAUUCUGAAUGAUGGUUUACUGCAGUUUUCACAAUGAAAGCCCUCCUCCUUUCUUUAGUUUGGGGAUUUUCUGUUACUUUUCUCAAGUUAGCCUGAAUAAAAAACGAAUGAACACAGA